UAGUUUGUAAGUUUGGCAAAGUUUAGAUCGAUUCGUGCUUGUAAUCAUUUAAAACGUCACGCUGUGAUUGAUUUUAUUCUGUUCUCACGUGAACAGCGUUAAUUAGUGUUCUUGUAAGGCAGAGGAUUUUCAGAAUAGUGUAAUAACUUAAAGGGAGGCUACUCAGCGAGUUUGAGCUGAUUUAUCAAAACCAAACGGAGGCCAUGUUGAUUCAUCUGUGCUUCAUAGUUUUGGUUGGAUGUGCAGCUGUAAUGAGCCAAAGUUCAAAUCUAGAGCAAACAAGUUCUACAACUGUUGAUACACUCAAUCAGGCAUCUAAAGAAUUUCAGAAUGAUGAAAGUACUAAACAGUUAAGCAACCAGACAUUCAAUGACACCCAGUCUUCGCAAUUUGGUUACAUCAAUGGGACGCUUAUAAGAAAGUCUCGAAGUCUCUGGGGUUUUAUUGCUGCUGCUGCUUCUGUCCUUGAUUUAAUUUUCGGAAAAUAAAAAUCGCUCAAAAUUCGAGGCUGUAAUGAAUUAAAAACGUUUACAAAUCAAA